rnacentral:rRNA from 2 species
GCAGUCGAACGAACUCUGGUAAUGAUUGGUGCUUGCAUCAUGAAUUACAUUUGAGUGAGUGGCGAACUGGUGAGUAACACGUGGGAAACCUGCCCAGAAGCGGGGGAUAACACCUGGAAACAGAUGCUAAUACCGCAUAACAACUUGGACCGCAUGGUCCGAGUUUGAAAGAUGGCUUCGGCUAUCACUUUUGGAUGGUCCCGCGGCGUAUUAGCUAGAUGGUGAGGUAACGGCUCACCAUGGCAAUGAUACGUAGCCGACCUGAGAGGGUAAUCGGCCACAUUGGGACUGAGACACGGCCCAAACUCCUACGGGAGGCAGCAGUAGGGAAUCUUCCACAAUGGACGAAAGUCUGAUGGAGCAACGCCGCGUGAGUGAAGAAGGGUUUCGGCUCGUAAAACUCUGUUGUUAAAGAAGAACAUAUCUGAGAGUAACUGUUCAGGUAUUGACGGUAUUUAACCAGAAAGCCACGGCUAACUACGUGCCAGCAGCCGCGGUAAUACGUAGGUGGCAAGCGUUGUCCGGAUUUAUUGGGCGUAAAGCGAGCGCAGGCGGUUUUUUAAGUCUGAUGUGAAAGCCUUCGGCUCAACCGAAGAAGUGCAUCGGAAACUGGGAAACUUGAGUGC